rnacentral:rRNA from 1 species
AUCGAACGCUAGCGGGAUGCCUUACACAUGCAAGUCGAACGGCAGCGCGGACUUCGGUCUGGCGGCGAGUGGCGAACGGGUGAGUAAUGUAUCGGAACGUGCCCAGUAGCGGGGGAUAACUACUCGAAAGAGUAGCUAAUACCGCAUACGCCCUACGGGGGAAAGGGGGGGAUCGCAAGACCUCUCACUAUUGGAGCGGCCGAUAUCGGAUUAGCUAGUUGGUGAGGUAGAGGCUCACCAAGGCGACGAUCCGUAGCUGGUUUGAGAGGACGACCAGCCACACUGGGACUGAGACACGGCCAAGACUCCUACGGGAGGCAGCAGUGGGGAAUUUUGGACAGUGGGGGCAACCCUGAUCCAGCCAUUCCGCGUGUGCGAUGAAGGCCUUCGGGUUGUAAAGCACUUUUGGCAGGAAAGAAAUCGCACGGAUUAAUACUCUGUGUGGAUGACGGUACCUGCAGAAUAAGCACCGGCUAACUACGUGCCAGCCGCCGCCGUAA